GAUGAACGCUGGCGGCGUGCCUAAUACAUGCAAGUCGAGCGAACAGACGAGGCGCUUGCUCCUCUGACGUUAGCGGCGGACGGGUGAGUAACACGUGGAUAACCUACCUAUAAGACUGGGAUAACUUCGGGAAACCGGAGCUAAUACCGGAUAAUAUAUUGAACCGCAUGGUUCAAUAGUGAAAGACGGUUUUGCUGUCCCUUAUAGAUGGAUCCGCGCCGCAUUAGCUAGUUGGUAAGGUAACGGCUUACCAAGGCGACGAUGCGUAGCCGACCUGAGAGGGUGAUCGGCCACACUGGAACUGAGACACGGUCCAGACUCCUACGGGAGGCAGCAGUAGGGAAUCUUCCGCAAUGGGCGAAAGCUUGACGGAGCAACGCCGCGUGAGUGAUGAAGGUCUUCGGAUCGUAAAACUCUGUUAUUAGGGAAGAACAAAUGUGAAAGUAACUAUGCACGUCUUGACGGUACCUAAUCAGAAAGCCACGGCUAACUACGUG
rnacentral:rRNA from 1 species